rnacentral:piRNA from 1 species
UAGAUAUUUUCCUGGAAAGGGAGGCUUUCU